CAGAGGGUGCGAGCGUUAAUCGGAAUUACUGGGCGUAAAGCGUGCGUAGACGGUUAUUUAAGUCGGGUGUGAAAGCCCCGGGCUCAACCUGGGAAUUGCAUUCGAGACUGAAUAGCUAGGGUACGGUAGAGGGAAGUGGAAUUUCCGGUGUAGCGGUGAAAUGCGUAGAUAUCGGAAGGAACAUCAGUGGCGAAAGCGACUUCCUGGACCAGUACCGACGUUCAGGCACGAAAGCGUGGGGAGCAAACAGGAUUAGAUACCCUGGUAGUCCACGCCAUAAACGAUGAGGACUAGACGUUGGAGGGGUAAGCCUUUCGGUGUCGUAGCUAACGCGCUAAGUCCUCCGCCUGGGGAGUACGGCCGCAAGGUUG
rnacentral:rRNA from 1 species